GUGGCGUUUGAGGACUUGCCCUUUUACAGAAUAAUAAUAAAGGCAUGCAGGGGUGUUUACAAACAGACGACCACAGCUGAAGUAGAUUGUGAGCUUGGAGAGGUCCUGAAACUGGCCACUUUUCGAAAGGGAGGUUCAAAGUUUGAGGAGAAGAGGAGGAAUUAAGAGGAAGCGACGGCGAAGAAGGGCAAAGGGAAGUGUACAAAUAAAAGGGACAGUGAGAUGAGUGACCAGGAAGUGAAGAAGAAGAAAACAGGGAAAGGGAAAAGAACCAAGCAAACGCUAGUGAGACCAGUGAGCAUUGAGCAGGAAGAGAACCAACAAGAAGGGGCAGGAGUACACUGACGCGCACGACCAAGACCACAGCAUUCCAUUUCUAUUGUAUUAUAAUUAUCACUAAUAAAGAAUUAUUGUUGAAUUUUC